CCUACGGGGGGCAGCAGUAGGGAAUCUUCCACAAUGGGCGAAAGCCUGAUGGAGCAACGCCGCGUGGGUGAAGAAGGUCUUCGGAUCGUAAAACCCUGUUGUUAGAGAAGAAAGUGCGUGAGAGUAACUGUUCACGUUUCGACGGUAUCUACCCAGAAAGCCACGGCUAACUACGUGCCAGCAGCCGCGGUAAUACGUAGGUGGCAAGCGUUAUCCGGAUUUAUUGGGCGUAAAGGGAACGCAGGCGGUCUUUUAAGUCUGAUGUGAAAGCCUUCGGCUUAACCGGAGUAGUGCAUUGGAAACUGGGAGACUGGAGUGCAGAAGAGGAGAGUGGAACUCCAUGUGUAGCGGUGAAAUGCGUAGAUAUAUGGAAGAACACCAGUGGCGAAAGCGGCUCUCUGGUCUGUAACUGACGCUGAGGUUCGAAAGCGUGGGUAGCAAACAGGAUUAGAUACCCCUGUAGUC
rnacentral:rRNA from 1 species